rnacentral:rRNA from 1 species
AUUGAACGCUGGCGGCAUGCCUUACACAUGCAAGUCGAACGGUAACAGGUCCUCGGAUGCUGACGAGUGGCGAACGGGUGAGUAAUACAUCGGAACGUGCCCGAGAGUGGGGGAUAACGAGGCGAAAGCUUUGCUAAUACCGCAUACGAUCUCAGGAUGAAAGCAGGGGACCGCAAGGCCUUGCGCUCACGGAGCGGCCGAUGGCAGAUUAGGUAGUUGGUGGGAUAAAAGCUUACCAAGCCGACGAUCUGUAGCUGGUCUGAGAGGACGACCAGCCACACUGGGACUGCGACACGGCCCAGACUCCUGCGGGAGGCAGCAGUGGGGAAUUUUGGACAAUGGGCGCAAGCCUGAUCCAGCCAUGCCGCGUGCAGGAUGAAGGCCUUCGGGUUGUAAACUGCUUUUGUACGGAACGAAAAGACUCCUUCUAAUAAAGGGGGUCCAUGACGGUACCGUAAGAAUAAGCACCGGCUAACUACGUGCCAGCCGCCGCGGUAACAC